rnacentral:rRNA from 1 species
GACGAACGCUGGCGGCGUGCUUAACACAUGCAAGUCGAACGGAAAGGCCCUGCUUUUGUGGGGUGCUCGAGUGGCGAACGGGUGAGUAACACGUGAGUAACCUGCCCUUGACUUUGGGAUAACUUCAGGAAACUGGGGCUAAUACCGGAUAGGAGCUCCUGCUGCAUGGUGGGGGUUGGAAAGUUUCGGCGGUUGGGGAUGGACUCGCGGCUUAUCAGCUUGUUGGUGGGGUAGGGGCUUACCAAGGUUUUGACGGGUAGCCGGCGUGAGAGGGUGACCGGCCACAUUGGGACUGAGAUACGGCCCAGACUCAUACGGGAGGCAGCAGUGGGGAAUAUUGCACAAUGGGCGGAAGCCUGAUGCAGCAACGCCGCGUGCGGGAUGACGGCCUUCGGGUUGUAAACCGCUUUCGCCUGUGACGAAGCGUGAGUGACGGUAAUGGGUAAAGAAGCACCGGCUAACUACGUG